GCCUAAUACAUGCAAGUAGAACGCUGAAGAGAAGAGCUUGCUCUUCUUGGAUGAGUUGCGAACGGGUGAGUAACGCGUAGGUAACCUGCCUGGUAGCGGGGGAUAACUAUUGGAAACGAUAGCUAAUACCGCAUAACAGUAGAUAUUGCAUGAUAUCUGCUUGAAAGGUGCAAUUGCAUCACUACCAGAUGGACCUGCGUUGUAUUAGCUAGUUGGUGAGGUAACGGCUCACCAAGGCAACGAUACAUAGCCGACCUGAGAGGGUGAUCGGCCACACUGGGACUGAGACACGGCCCAGACUCCUACGGGAGGCAGCAGUAGGGAAUCUUCGGCAAUGGACGGAAGUCUGACCGAGCAACGCCGCGUGCGUGAAGAAGGUUUUCGGAUCGUAAAGCUCUGUUGUAAGAGAAGAACGAGUGUGAGAGUGGAAAGUUCACACUGUGACGGUAUCUUACCAGAAAGGGACGGCUAACUACGUGCCAGCAGCCGCGGUAAUACGUAGGUCCCGAGCGUUGUCCGGAUUUAUUGGGCGUAAAGCGAGCGCAGGCGGUUAGAUAAGUCUGA
rnacentral:rRNA from 1 species